UUUACUACAACAGCUCCAUGAACGUAAGCACUUCAUUUAUAAAGAGAGCAACACAGAAAAAGGGACCUCUGAGAGGGUCUGGAAUUAGGGUUCAGAUACCAUCCAUCUGUUAUGUGCUUUGAAGAUGCCACUCCAUCUGUGGGAUUCAAUUUACAUAAACUGAAGACUAUUCUUCUGAGUUGAAGUGAGGAGAGGCAUCUAUCCUCUCCUCCUGCAAAAUUAUUUGAUCUCCUGGAAGCAAAAAGCCCACUAUGAAGUUGUUCUUGCCAUGGACUUCUGGAGGAGCUGACUAUCCUUUGGGAAGCUACAAAUACAGCCUUAAAAUCUGUUAGCAGGGAAGAGAGAGAGGCUUUUUCUGAGUGAUCAGUUAUUGACGGCCUUCUGUGCAUUGGGCCCUGUGCUAGAAGCUGAAGAGUAUUCAAAAAUGCAAGCCAUCAAAGAGAAGAUAAUAUAGUUGUGAGAUGAUAUGAGGAGAGAUCAAAGGAGAAGUCAGUGUCCAAGAUAGCAACCAAUCGGAGCCCUCACAAGGCUGCGCCCCAUUCAUGAACAAAGGAGCAUCCAGGCAUAGGGUUUGUCAGAGCUGGGUGCAGUGGUGGGUGCCUGUAAUUCGAGCUAUAACCGGAGGCUAAAAGAGGAUCGCCUGGGCCCAGGAGUGAGUUUAAGACCAGUGUGGAUAACACAGACUCUGUCUAAAAAAAAAGGCUCUCUUCCCCCUCCUUCCGCACAUUCACCCUGAGUGACCUCAUCCUCUCCCAUGACUCUCCCCCUGCAUGAGCGCUGAGAUGCCCAGUUCCACCAUCUCCGUUCCAGACUCAUCUAAUCAGCUGCCUUCUGGCCGUGUCUGUCUCCAUUGAUACUUCUCACUCAGCAUGUCCAAGGCUGAGCUCAUCACUCUCGCUCCACCUCCCCUCUCCUCUUCCUGCAUCCCUGUCCUCCGUGAGCAGCAUCACCAUCUACCUUGUGGCCUGGACGUGAAUCCUGAAACUUCCUCCUUGUGUUGGAUUCUCCAGUGAGCACAAAAAAAGCACAGGCUUGGAACACCAAGGAAACAAACACAAGUGAUGACUGCACAGUGUGCGGGCAGGAAUGCUUAUUGUUUUGGACUCUGCUGUUCCCCUGGCCCUGGAACGGUGCUUGGCAUGCAGAAGGCACUCAACAAACAUUUGAUGAAUGCAUGAACUGAUGAAUAAACAAAUAAAUGGA